GGGGCCUUAGCUCAGCGGGGAGAACGCCUGCUUUGCGCGCAGGAGGUCAGCGGUUCGAUUCCGCUAGGCUCCA
rnacentral:tRNA from 1 species